GUGAGCUUCCCCGCCAGGAACUUACUGGGGCUGCAUCACCCUAGAAACGUGGCUUUGGGCUGUGGAAACGCUGCCUCUGUGGAAGUCUCUCCUCGCGGGGGUGGACGGGUCGCUGCGCGCCCAGCGUUCUUCUGCGGUUCUCACAGCCCGCCGCCGCCGCCGCCUCGGGGACCUUUGCGGGGAGGCCUCAGGGCACCUUCCUCCUCUCUCUCAGGCACGUCCUCGACCUCAGUUGCCACGUGCACAUGCUGGUGCCUUCCAGGCUGGAGUAUAGUGGCAUGAUCAUAGAUCACUGCAGCCUCAAACUCCUGGGCUCAAGCGAUCCUCCCACCUCAGCCUCCAUAUAGCUGGUGGGGACCAAGUUUCUAACACAUGAAUGUUGGGAGACACAUUCAGACCAUCGCAGUGGCCUUAUAAAAAGAGACACAAGAGCUUGCUCUCUGCCAUGUGAGAAUACCACAAGAAGACUGUCCUCAGCAAAUCAGAAAGCGGGUGGACCCUCAUCAGACACCAGAUGUGCCUGCACCUUGAUCUUGGACUUGCCAGCCUUCAGAACAGUAAGAAAGAAAUGUGUGUUGUUUAAGCCACCCAGUCUAUGGUAACUUGCUAUAGCAGCCCACUAGGAGACCCCAAGAUAUUUAAAAACUCAUCAGCACCUGCUUUCUGCAUCUGGACCCUGAUCUUCUGGUGGGUUUACCAGUUACUUGUAGAGUGUCCCUGUGAUAGUUUUAGGUGUCAACUUGACAGGAUUGAGGGAUGCCUAGAUGGCUGGGGAAGCACUGUUUCUGAGAAGGACCAUGUUUUUGGAGGAGACUGUUUUAU
rnacentral:lncRNA from 1 species